rnacentral:lncRNA from 1 species
GGUCAAGAUGAGGAUGGACAAUCCAGUCUGAGCCAGCAGUCAGUGGCCCAUGGGAAAGUCAAGACUCUUUCUGUCCCCAGUCCAGUGAACCUGCUGGUUGGAAACAUCUACUUUGAGGUAAGUUACAUGCAGCUUGGGCCCUUCACAGGAGAUGGACCUCAUUUCCAAGGACAGGCCUAUGUAUGAGUUGUUGAAUGCUCUGCACUGGUUGGAGAGGGUAAAGCUAGAGGUCCAUAUAUCCCACAAAUCUCAGAAGUAGCUCAGAUUCCCUAAGCCUUGUUAAAAACAAAACAUUCCCUGUUAGUCUUGACACUAGUCUUGCUUGUCCAGCACUCAUGGUGGGGUUCCACAAGAACCAGACGCAGGUCUGUGAUGGUACCUCCUGGGGCAAAUGGUGCUUUGUUUUCCCAAAGGAAGCCCAAGAGAACUCCAGAAGGAAGGAGAGGCUUUUCAACGUCUAGCCAAACAUCAAGUCGCCAAAUGACUCUUCUACUUAUCUGUCUUUUCCGUGGUCAGUCAGGGCCCCACCUGGGCAGCAGCACCCCUAAUGGGAGCCCAGGGGUGACAAAACCCCAGGGAGAGCAAGCAGAUUCCUGUGCAGAGACUGGGAAGAAGAGGGUGCUGAAACUGAGAGCCUCAAGCAGCAGCCUGCUCUUGGCAGGGCUGCUGCUCAUUUUCUUUGGCUCGCUCUGAGUACCUGUCUGAAAGCACUGCAGUGCAGGAAGGAAAUUUUUCAAGAGAUUAAACUAUUAUUGUUUCCUGUGUGGCUGUCUUCACUGGUGUACGAAAAAAAAGCUUUAAGGGCACUUGAAAAGAGAUCUGUCUGAAUAGCAGGGUUGUUGUGAUUCAUCCCCCUCCCCUCCAGUCAGGAUUUGGCCAAUUUCCUCAGGAAAGUGGUUGAUUAGGACCCAUGGAUUUAUCCAUGGCCUAAAUAUAAGAUGUCAUAAAGGUGAUUAAUGGUGAGCUCACCAUAAGAGGGAGUUAAAAGUUUAUAAAAGCUAUUUUUAACGGUUUGGAAGAAGAAAAAACUCAUUUGUCAUGUUGCCAACCUGUUUCAAUAGUUAAAAACCUCUUUGUAGCCCCUGAUCAUUCAUGCUACUAACUGUUAAAGGUUGGUUGUGUUUUCUAAUUUUGUAAGUUUGUUUGAAAAAUCAGUUCAAUGUGUUUUGCUGUUUAUAUAAAGCACAUGGGGGAAGGAAAAUACAUAAAAUGUAUUUGCACCAUGAUUAGUGAUUGCGGCUCAUGGUGACAUUUAUGUACAAUAAUCUUCCUUCUUUUUUCCACCCUGCCUCAGGAGAGAGAGAAGUGGUCUUUCUGUUUAUAUCCCUGCUGUAUAAACAUCUAUUGAAGGAGUUUCCAAGAUGGUUUUCAGAGCCCAACUACAACCAGCCUGGGCUUCCCAGAUCAAGGGAAAUUGGAGCAGUUCAGAAAGUGAAUGAUGGUUUCAUGGCUACCGGCAGUGUCAAAAGUGGCCCAGACAUGUCAUAUUGCCCAGAUAUGCUCCACAAUGUCAAUUUAUUGUGAUGACAGUUUCAUAGACAAAGUCCCUCCUUUUAAAUAGUACAUUUUCUUUCCAGUCACAAACAAGCCAACUUUGUUUAAAGGAACAUAUAUGAUUAGCCUCUUUUUAAAGUUAAGAUUCCUAUAAGGUACCUACCAAAUUCUCUGAACCCAGCAUUUAACAUUGGCUGAAUAAUAUAGCAGCACACAAAUAUAAUAGGUUGACACCGUUGGAGAGAGAGCUGGGCAUUUUGAUGGAUUUAUUUUGCGGAUUGUGGAAACAUGAAGGUAUGCACAAGUGGGCGUUCUGCCCCAACAUACAUGUGGCAGGUGAGAUGUGAGAGGGAUUAAUUAUUGAAAUCCAAUCAACUGCUAUUGACAAUUUUGUCAACAUCAGGAACAGACAGGAUGCUUUCUGCAAUUCUUGAAGAGAAUUGGAAGAGGACCCCAAUCAACAGAGGCAACUGAUGUACAGGGUAUUCCUUAAUUCCUUCAUUAUUUAAUAAACAUUUAAAGGACCCUCUAAUGUACCAGGAAUACAGAUUUAGACUUCAAUGACUCCAUGGGGAACUGGUAGAUAAGAAGACUCUUACAACAGAGGGAGAUAAGAGAAUGGCUUUCUCAUACUCCUCUGGCCUACACUUACUCAGACCCAUGCACCUACCUGCAAAGGAGGCUGGGAAUUGUAGUCUCCAGCUGAGCAGGCGUCCCACUUCACUCCGGAGUUUCUGGUUAACAUGUAGCAGUUUCUCCAUGGGAGAUUUUAAAGUAUCAUCAGGUAGGGGUCCAAACGGAACCAUCCAAGAGCAUCAACCAGCACAGCAGCUUCUGCCUAGUAUGCACUGCCUAGGCCAUGCUGCAGGGUCUGCCUACAAUGAUGGGCAGA